rnacentral:ncRNA from 1 species
CUCUCGGGGAGCCUUAAAAAUAAGGCUGAGAUGCUACUAGCUUUUGACUUCAUACUUUUGAUUUCAUACUGCGUAGCGAACCCGUUGAACCUGAACCGUCUAGUACCGGCGUAGGAAAGAGCAAUGUU